AACGAACGCUGGCGGCAGGCCUAACACAUGCAAGUCGAGCGAAGCCUUCGGGCUUAGCGGCGGACGGGUGAGUAACGCGUGGGAACGUGCCCUUUGGUACGGAAUAGCCCCGGGAAACUGGGAGUAAUACCGUAUGUGGUCGAGAGACGAAAGAUUUAUCGCCAAAGGAUCGGCCCGCGUUGGAUUAGGUAGUUGGUGGGGUAAUGGCCUACCAAGCCGACGAUCCAUCGCUGGUUUGAGAGGAUGAUCAGCCACACUGGGACUGAGACACGGCCCAGACUACUACGGGAGGCAGCAGUGGGGAAUCUUAGACAAUGGGGGAAACCCUGAUCUAGCCAUGCCGCGUGAUCGAUGAAGGCCUUAGGGUUGUAAAGAUCUUUCAGUGGGGAAGAUAAUGACUGUACCCACAGAAGAAGCCCCGGCUAACUCCGUGCCAGCCGCCGCAGUAACAC
rnacentral:rRNA from 1 species